rnacentral:rRNA from 1 species
AGCGGCGGACGGGUGAGUAACGCGUGGGUAACCGUGCCUCAUACAGGGGAGUAACAGUUGGAAACGGCUGCUAAUACCGCAUAAGCGCACAGUACCGCAUGGUACCGUGUGAAAAACUCCGGUGGUAUGAGAUGGACCCGCGUCUGAUUAGGUAGUUGGUGGGGUAACGGCCUACCAAGCCGACGAUCAGUAGCCAACCUGAGAGGGUGACCGGCCACAUUGGGACUGAGACAUGGCCCAA